rnacentral:lncRNA from 1 species
GAAACUACUUGGAAAUCAAAGUUCGAGCGUUUCUCGAGUCUGAGCACGUGCACAGGCGUGUGCUCACUUCUAUUGUUUGUUUAUUUGUGUGAAUGCGGAGUUCUAAAGUGCACGUUUCAUGAUGACGGUGACGGACGGAUGUUGACGUCAUCUCACACAUCUGUGACGCGUUGGUUGGUUUAAACUCGUGCUCCACGUGUCCAUUCUCUCCGUAUCCUCUAACUUUCCACUCUCUAGGAAGAAGUUUGUGUAUCGAGCUUCCUGUUUGGACUUCCCUCCUCACAGCGGCUUCUUCUCAUUGGCCAACAACAAAGGACACGCCCCUCUCAUCAGCAGCUCAUCAGGGCGAUCUCUUUGUGAUUACCAUAAGUGUUAGUAUAUUCGCGCACAAGAAAACAACGUGCGGUUGAUUUGACCAGGGAUUUAAGCCACUAUAGUCACUGAAGUAGUGAGACUCACCUGCUCUCAGUUCUGCUGCUGCACGUGAAGGUUGAUGUGGACUCUGAACCUUCGUCUGAAUAAUCUGUGUGGAACUCCCACCGACUCAAAGACCAGGGAGUGUGUGUGUGUGUGUGUGUGAUACACAACAGAUACACAAAGUCCUCACAAACAGACAGGAAAUGUACACAAAAAGACUGUAUAAACAGUAAUAAAUGAAGAGGCUACACAGAAACA